rnacentral:rRNA from 1 species
AUGCACGUCGUCGGUAGUUGUACACAAUCGUUGUCGGACUUGACGGUCAACCUUGCCGGCCUUGAUGUCCAACACAAAACAACACAAGGGACCUCGGGAUGUCAACAACAAGGAGCCGAUAGUGGUAGCUACGAGCUCCUGUGCGGGGGAAAGGGGGCGGCCUCGAGGUCGUGCUGGAUGCUGUCAGGGGCGACUCCAAGGAGCAGCAGCGCGAGGAGGGCCAUGGUGGGCGUCGGGGUUGAAGACCGGAGGUGGUUGUGCCAGAGCAGCAGCGAGUCCUGGUGGCCGGCAUCGCCGGAUCUCGCUGAUGGGAGGUUGGCACCUCGGGAGCUCACGGAAGAAGGCGGGUCGGGAAGGUCCUGCGGUAGCGAGGUUGUCCUGGCCUGGCAGAGCCGGCCAUCCAUGGCGGGCCAAGGUCACCGGCGCGACGGAGGCGGUGGGACGACGCGAGGCAGGGGGCGCCGGAGUUGA